CACUAAGAAGCUAAACAGGGCUAUAGCGUCAGCCUUUUAAGCUGAAGAUUGGUGCCCACCAACCACCCUUAGUGA
rnacentral:tRNA from 1 species